UACUUCCUGGUGCUCCAGUGGUGGCUCCACAUGAAAAGAGAUUAGGAGAAGAAGGAAAGAGAUUAGGAGAAGAAGAGGAGAAGGAAAGAAGAGGAAAGAAGAAAGAAAAUCUUAAAUUUUCAUCUAUGAACAGGACAUUAAUGUUUUACAGACUAUGCUCUUUUCAAAGGGAAAACCACUUCAAAGCCAGAGCUAUUAUUGCAACCCUCCUCUCCAGCAACCUAGAACUCUGAGAAGUUGUGGCCUCUGAGAAAGAGGAAAACAGGACAGAAGUGAUGAACAAUAUUUCAACACCAUGGAAAACCUAUGGUAGUUCUCCUACCCAGGGUAACACUGGAGGAGAAUUUGUCAUAGAUGGACUCGUGGAGGAAUGUGCCAUCUCAGGGACCCACCUGUGUUGGAACUGCCAGGUGCAACAGUUGUGCCAGGAGCUACCCCAGUGGUGGCUGAAACACAAAGGGUCUGAGAUCAUCACAGUGACUUGUGUUUGUCUUCUGAAGACCUGCCUCCAGAAGGAAUCUGGGCAUAUCUUUGUUAUAUCAAAGAGCCCUUUCACUGCUUCCUGAUGAACUGAGAAUUGUACGCCUUUGCUGUGACCCAUAGCAUUAACAAAGCAGUGGAAAUAGUAAUGUGCCCAAAUUGAGGUCCCUCCACUGAAUUUCAUACAUUCACUCCCAGACAAGAAAACGGGGUGGUUUUCUCUCCCCUUCACUGGUCAGGCUCCCAGUUGCUUGGCCUCCUGAGGCUGCCGUGGUGCCUGCCAUGGGAUGAAAACCAGAACAAUGUUUUCAUGUGCCAAGAACACUGGAAAAUAUUUCACAUCAUUAUUGCUUUUUUGAGUGAGAAAACUUUUAUAUAGGGUAUGCCUGCUUCUAGAACUUAUAUUGUUUUCUUUCCAGAAAUACACUGUUUUCCAGCUCCCCUACACCAUAGUGGUAUGUAUGACUUUGCAGGAGAAAUCUCUUAUGCUGAUUGCACCACCAGCCCCUCUUUAGAAAGUUACAGCUGUGGGGCUAGAUGUUGGUUUUAAGAGUUUUCCAGAAUAUGUUCAGUGUGAGAAAACACUGAAAGUAAAUGCAAACCACUACCUAGGAAAACACACUCCCAAAAGAUGAGCCUACGGAGAGUCACAAUGUAUGCUAAACCCUAAGCUGUGCUCUGCUCAUUCUCACCUGGGCUGGAUCCAGAUGGAGGAACGCUGCGGCCUUCUAUUAAAGUUGUGGCCUCUGGGGGAGGAAGUGAUGAAUGGUGAGAUCAGAAUUUGGGAUAUUGGGAAAAGAAUGAGGUUGGUAUUUCAUCAAAGCAGCUCUAAAACUAUAUUAUAUGGUUAAACAUGGAGAUUUCCUGCUUAUCAACCUACCAAUGUGGGACAUUUAGCAUUUGUCCCAGAUAAUUCUUCUGUAGUAACUAACAGUGGAAAAAGAAAGGGAUCAACAUGGCAUUACUUCCUAAAUCAGUUGUGGAAGUAGCUAUGUGGCUUUAAUCCACUGGAAGAACGUUCCUGAAAGCCUCUAUUUUGUAAGGAAAUAAACUAUAAGCGACUACCACUUCAUGUUCUGGCCCACCUAUCCAUCACUGUUGCUACUGGGGUUCCCUUUCCAUAGAGCACACUGAAUGUGGAUGGGAACCCUAUCUCCUCCUCACCUGUUUCACUUUCAGAUGCUGAGCUCUCUGGUGUGACAGAGAUACCUUCAGGAGAAAAAAAAAAGCAGAUGACAUUCAUCUUUCUGAAUUUUACUCAUCAAUUGCCUCAGGCGUUUUGAUACUGAGAAUUUGAAAAUAGAACUUGUUAACUCUAAUCCUAGCAUAUGAGGACUGUAUUUAGUCCUUCCUACCUGGUCUGGAGCUCUGUGAACUGCUGCUGACUCGAGCUGAAACCACAGUUGUACCUGUUAAAGAAAGUGGAGUGAAAAAAUCUUCAAAUAAAACAUUUCACCUUUCAA